rnacentral:rRNA from 2 species
AGCCCAAAAUGGGUGGUAAACUCCAUCUAAAGCUAAAUACUGGCACGAGACCGAUAGCGAACAAGUACCGUGAGGGAAAGAUGAAAAGCACUUUGAAAAGAGAGUAAAACAGCACGUGAAACCGUUAACAGGGAAACGAAUGGGGUUAGCAAUGCGCUGCGCGAGAUCCAGUCGGCGGGCGGACAGCGCGGACGGCUCCCAGCGGAUCCGCAUGGACCGCGGCCGUUCGGACUCAGCCCUCUCUCCGCCGACGCACCUCUCGCCAGCGCGCGUCAGCGUCGGUUGGCAACGAGUCUCAAAGGCGAUUCGGGGAAGGUAGGGCCGUCGAUUCGGCCCGUUUACAGCCCCUCGUCCGAUAAUGGCUCGAGGCCGACCGAGGAACAGCGGCGCGAGCGAGCUCUUUCGGGGGCUUGCUUGGGGGGCCGUCGGUSUGCUCGGCGAAUUCUGAACUGCGGCGGACUGGCUUGCAGUGCGCCGCGACCGUCGCCGGGCGCUCCUUCGGACUUUCACUCACAACUUACGCGCCCACGACGCUGGCGGUCAAAUGGCCUCAUCCGACCCGUCUUGAAACACGGACCAAGGAGUCUAACAUGUGCGCAAGUCUUCGAGUGACCGAAACUCCCAGGCGCAAUGAAAGAGAAGAGACCAAGCACGAGGUGAGAACCCCCCGCCCUCGCAGGCGGCGGCGCAUCAUCGACCGACCUACC